GGCUUGGGAGGAUGCAAGUUAGUACCGUUUCUGUCUGGCCAUAGAAUUCUCGGAUGUCCAGUCCUGUCUGGGCCUUCCAGUUCCUCAGAAUUUCUGGAAGAAGAGUGUCCCCUCCAGUUAAGCAGUUCUGUAGAUGUGGGAACUUGUAACUGAAAAAGAGAAAUAAGUGUUUCCCCUCAGCCUCCCUGGAACCACAGUCCACCCAGGCCUAGAGCUGGGUUCUGGGUGCUCUGAUGAUGCAAAUGGCUUCAUGGGGCUAUCUGUGUGAGAGAUUCAGACAGAUAGGCAUACAUGUAUGUGAGGGAAUCAGAUGGAUGGGGUCAGACUCUUACCAACCCUCAAAGCCCCAUCACCUGGAAAGAUCCUGCUGAAGCAACAUCUGGUAAACAACGGGGGCACUCAGCAUGGUUUUGACUGGGUAGCCGGACAGUGUCUGGAAGAAGAGAGCCAGGUGAGACACUGGUCACCAGGUCAGAUGCCAACUUAUGGCUAGGCACAGUGGUUACAAUCGUAAACUAUGGAGUUGUAGAGGUAUGGAUUAAAACCCUAGCUUGUUUGCCGUGUCUGUUUCAGGUUAAAUGAGCCCCACAAUUUUCAUGCACCCUGAAGACACAAAUAACAGGGAAAUGAAUACAUAUUAUGGUAUUGAAAAAGUCUAGGAGUAAUUUGAAACAUUUUUGUCAAAUCCUGGCUGGUUGUUCUUGCUGGUUUAAGACUUGCCCUCAUUAACAACCCCUAGGAGUAUAUCAGCCCCCAGCAACCAAGGGAUGCACAGCAGCUGUCUUGGUUAAGUCCCUUAACCUUCUGUAACCAGCUUUAUAAUAGGCAGAUUGUUUCCAGCCUUAUUUCCCUGAAAAUAUUUUUGGGAUAUAUUUUAGAUAUAAAAGUUCUUUAAAAAGUUAAAGGCAUCUAUAGACAUUUCAAAACAAUUGCUACAAAAGGACCUAGUACUGAAUACUUGCCAUGUCCUGUGUUACCUCAUUUAAUUUUUACAAUCACCUCAUGGAGUGUGUACUGUCAUCCUUACGAUACA